AUGGCGGCGCCGCGCGUCCUCCUCCUCCUCGCCGCCGCGGCCAUCCUCGCCGUCGCCUCCCUCGGGGACGCUUCGGGCGAGGGCCCCCGCGGGCGCAAGCUGCUGGUGCUCGUCGACGAUCUGGCCGUCCGCUCAUCCCACUCGGCCUUCUUCGGCUCGCUUCAGGCCCGCGGGCUAGAUCUGGAGUUCCGCCUCGCCGACGACCCCAAGCUCUCGCUCCACCGCUACGGUCAGUACCUCUACGACGGCCUCGUCCUCUUCGCCCCAUCGACCCCGCGUUUCGGCGGAUCGGUGGACCAGAAUGCUGUUCUGGAGUUUAUCGAUGCUGGGCACGAUAUGAUUCUGGCAGCAGAUCAUUCGGCUUCAGAUCUGAUCCGCGGCAUCGCGACGGAGUGUGGGGUUGACUUUGAUGAGGACCCGGAAGCAAUGGUUAUUGACCACAUCAAUUAUGCCUCCAGUGAGGUUGAAGGUGACCACACCUUGAUUGCUGGCGAUGACCUGAUUCAGUCAGAUGUGAUAUUGGGAUCCAAAAAGAUUGAGGCUCCUGUUCUGUUCCGAGGGAUUGCGCAUGCGGCUAAUCCAUCCAACAGCUUGGUUUUAAAGGCUAGGAAUAAUGCUCGUGUGUUAAUAUCUGGAUCACUGGAUUUGUUUAGCAACAGGUUCCUAAAGUCUGGUGUGCAGAAGGCUGGCAGCAAAAUGAGCCAUGACAAAGCUGGAAAUGAACAAUUUGUGACAGAGACGAGCAAAUGGGUCUUCCAUGAGAGGGGUCAUCUGAAGGCAGUGAAUGUGAUGCACCAUAAGGUUGGGGAGACAAAUGAGCCUAGCAUGUACCGCAUCAAUGAUGACUUGGAAUACUCAGUUGAGAUAUAUGAAUGGUCUGGUACAAGUUGGAAGCCAUAUGUUGCUGAUGAUGUUCAGAUUCAGUUUUUCAUGAUGAGCCCUUAUGUUCUGAAAAAUAUGUCAACUGACAAAUCGGCUGUAUAUUCAGCAUCCUUCAAAGUUCCAGAUGUUUAUGGAGUUUUCCAGUUCAAGGUUGAGUACCAAAGGCUUGGAUACACUGGCCUCUCUCUUGCAAAGCAGAUUCCAGUCCGUCCAUACAGGCAUGACGAGUAUGAGAGGUUCAUAACUUCAGCGUUUCCAUACUAUGCUGCCUCAUUUUCAACAAUGGGAGCCUUCUUCAUAUUCUCAGUUGCGUACCUGUAUCACAAAUAG
rnacentral:rRNA from 1 species